UACUGAGUUAUCAAAAACUCCAACCCUUUGUGAACCUACCUAUGUUUCCUCCGGCGUACCGCUUUAGCCUACCCACAGGGCUCCCCUAAGGGGGGGUUCUGCUGGGGAGGUGCCUGAGUGCUACCUAUCCUUCGGGGUACGGUUAGUGCAGUGAAGGUGCUGACCAAGGCCUCGGCGGCGCCGAGUAGGACCGCUCCAAACUUAAGCACCUAGUGCAUCCAACCCCGCGUUGAACAACUAUCGAAAAUCUGCUUUUGCUUUUUUUCUUUACGCUAAAACGUCUUUCCCGGUUGGAAUUAUUGCUCGAAAUAAUAAUUUCUUUACCCUGCAGUCGUUUGUUUUCAAGCUACAAUAUCUGCUCGAAAAUUGUUCAAAGCUCUGAGGGGUCUGAAUGAAUUCAUAAAAUUGGCAAAAGCCACCUAUAAACUACGGUUCUUAGGGGGUGAUCAAACCAAGGUUUUAAAAACCAAAUACGUUAAAACUUUCAACAACGGAUCUCUUGGUUCUGGCAUCGAUGAAGAACGCAGCGAAAUGCGAUAAGUAAUGUGAAUUGCAGAAUUCAGUGAAUCAUCGAAUCUUUGAACGCACAUUGCGCCCAUUAGUAUUCUAGUGGGCAUGCCUAUUCGAGCGUCAUUACAACCCUUAAGCCUUGUAGCUUAGCGUUGGGAAUCUACCCCUCACUGAGGGGUAGUU
rnacentral:rRNA from 1 species